UGAGGAAUAUUGGUCAAUGGAGGCAACUCUGAACCAGCCAUGCCGCGUGCAGGAUGACGGUCCUAUGGAUUGUAAACUGCUUUUGUACAGGAAGAAACCUCGCUACGAGUAGCGAUUUGACGGUACUGUAAGAAUAAGGAUCGGCUAACUCCGUGCCAGCAGCCGCGGUAAUACGGAGGAUCCGAGCGUUAUCCGGAAUUAUUGGGUUUAAAGGGUUCGUAGGCGGUUAGAUAAGUCAGUGGUGAAAUUUCUUAGCUUAACUAAGACCCGGCCAUUGAUACUGUUUGACUUGAAUAGUAUGGAAGUAACUAGAAUAUGUAGUGUGGCGGUGAAAUGCUUAGAUAUUACAUGGAAUGCCAAUUGCGAAGGCAGGUUACUACGUACUUAUUGACGCUGAUGAACGAAAGCGUGGGGAGCGAACAG
rnacentral:rRNA from 1 species